rnacentral:rRNA from 1 species
CCUACGGGCGGCAGCAGUGGGGAAUAUUGCACAAUGGGGGAAACCCUGAUGCAGCGACGCCGCGUGAGUGAGGAAGUAUCUCGGUAUGUAAAGCUCUAUCAGCAGGGAAGAAAAUGACGGUACCUGAUCAAGAAGCCCCGGCCAACUACGUGCCAGCAGCCCCGGUUAUACGGAGGGGGCAAGCGUUAUCCGGAUUUACUGGGUGUAAAGGGAGGGUAGACGGCAGCACAAGUCUGGAGUGAAAUGCCGGGGCUUAACCCCGGAACUGCUUUGGAAACUGUGCGGCUAGAGUGCAGGAGAGGUAAGUGGAAUUCCUGGUGUAGCGGUGAAAUGCGUAGAUAUUAGGAGGAACACCAGUGGCGAAGGCGGCUUACUGGACUGUAACUGACGUUGAGGCUCGAAAGCGUGGGGAGCAAACAGGAUUAGAUACCCGUGUAGUC